rnacentral:rRNA from 1 species
UUACCAGACUCCUACGGGAGGCAGCAGUGGGGGAUAUUGCACAAUGGGGGAAACCCUGAUGCAGCGACGCCGCGUGGGUGAAGAAGCGCCUCGGCGCGUAAAGCCCUGUCAGCAGGGAAGAAAAUGACGGUACCUGAAGAAGAAGCCCCGGCUAACUACGUGCCAGCAGCCGCGGUAAUACGUAGGGGGCAAGCGUUAUCCGGAUUUACUGGGUGUAAAGGGAGCGUAGACGGCAGCGCAAGUCUGAAGUGAAAUGCCAGGGCUUAACCCUGGAACUGCUUUGGAAACUGUGCAGCUAGAGUGCAGGAGAGGUAAGUGGAAUUUCUAGUGUAGCGGUGAAAUGCGUAGAUAUUAGGAGGAACACCAGUGGCGAAGGCGGCUUACUGGACUGUAACUGACGUUGAGGCUCGAAAGCGUGGGGAGCAAACAGGAUUAGAUACCCCCGUAAC